GGCUAGCGACUGGCCGGCAUGCGGGGUAAGAGGUAGGGUCAGGGCGUUAAUCGGAAGUACGGUGCGUAAUGGUGGCGCAGGCGGUUAUUUAAGACGGAUGUGGAAGCCCCGGGCUCAGCCUGGGAACUGCAUUUGUGACUGCAUGGCUAGAGUACGGUAGAGGGGGAUGGAAUUCCGCGUGUAGCAGUGAAAUGCGUAGAUAUGCGGAGGAACACCGAUGGCGAAGGCAAUCCCCUGGACCUGUACUGACGCUCAUGCACGAAAGCGUGGGGAGCAAACAGGAUUAGAUACCCUGUAGUC
rnacentral:rRNA from 1 species